GCUGGCGGCGUGCUUAACACAUGCAAGUCGAACGAGAAAUCUUUAGCUUGCUAGAGAAAGUAAAGUGGCGCACGGGUGAGUAACGCGUGGGUAAUCUGCCUCCGAAUCGGGGAUAACAUUGCGAAAGCGAUGCUAAUACCGGAUAAAAUCUGGUUGGCUUAGGUGAACCGGAUCAAAGGUGGUCUCUUUAUAAAAGCUACCGUUUGGAGAUGAGCUCGCGUACCAUUAGCUAGUUGGUGAGGUAAAGGCUCACCAAGGCGACGAUGGUUAGCUGGUCUGAGAGGAUGAUCAGCCACACCGGAACUGGAACACGGUCCGGACUCCUACGGGAGGCAGCAGUGAGGAAUUUUGCGCAAUGGGGGAAACCCUGACGCAGCAACGCCGCGUGAGUGAUGAAGGCUUUCGGGUCGUAAAGCUCUGUCAGGUGGGAAGAACCCACCAAGUGUUAAGACCACUUGGUGCUGGCGGUACCACCGAAGGAAGCACCGGCUAACUCCGUGCCAGCAGCCGCGGUAAUACGGGGGGUGCGAGCGUUAUUCGGAAUCAUUGGGCGUAAAGGGCGCGCAGGCGGUUUUGUAAGUCAGAUGUGAAAUCCCGGGGCUUAACCCCGGAAGUGCAUAUGAAACUAUGAGACUUGAGUAUGGGAGAGGGAAGCGGAAUUCCUGGUGUAGCGGUGAAAUGCGUAGAUAUCAGGAGGAACACCGGUGGCGAAGGCGGCUUCCUGGACCAAUACUGACGCUGAGGCGCGAAGGCGUGGGGAGCGAACAGGAUUAGAUACCCUGGUAG
rnacentral:rRNA from 1 species